GUGGAUGGAUUCAAAAAUAAGGUCCGCUUCAAAUCGAGCUGAACGAGAAAACAUGUUACUGGAAGCACUGGUCAAAGAUCGCAAGUUAAAAGUGAUGAAGCGACAACUUCGGGUGGAGCAACAUCGAAACAAUAUUUCGUUGGUCCAAGACGAACCGUGCUGUACUUGUGGACCAUUGUCAAAAAGUACUUUUAUAUUUGGCUGAACAAGACGAGGGAGAGGAAAGCUGGGAGGAAAAAUUUAGACACUCGACAUCAAAGUGCUUUCAUCGGCCAGCAGGGCCAACCGGAUCCUGCAGCCAAAGCCGUAAUGGAGUUGGAGCAGGAGUUGAAAAAGGACGGGGUCGCUAAUUUCUUCAUGAAUAUUAUGCGCAUUCGAGGUGCAUUCAAACUCAGGCCGGAUGAUUCAGUAACAUCCACCUCGAUCUCGAUGGUGAGCGUAGAGGGAUCCAAUGCUUCCCUCAUUAAACCAUUCAGCUCUGGAUGGAAAAAUGCUGUAAAGAAUAAGGCUGACAAAAAUAACU